UCAAGAGUAUAAGUUAUUAAGUCCUCUCUUGAUGUGAUACUAUGUACGAAUAUUUUUUCAAGUUUUCCCAAACCAUAAUAUCCAUUGAACAAUGUUGAGUUUCCUCUCAUUGGUUCUCCUAGCUUAAGAGAGAAUGAGAUCUUAGGCGAUGGCGAGCUAAGCGUGAAACUCCACUGUAAGGCCCGCGCCUUUUUGUUAGCAGCAAAAGAGAAAUUAGAGGCUGCUGGUUUUUCCUCGACUGUUCUACCAGGUAGAAAGAAAUGGGUAAAACCAUCAGUUGCUAAGAACCUUGCUAGAGCUGAGGAAUAUUUUUUGCAAAGAAAAGAGCAGCUGCAUCUGACGUAGCUAACCCCUCUUCUGCUUAAGUCAAAACUUUUGUCAGCCACACAAUUUUUGUUUAUGUUGUCACCCCAGAAAGGGGUUGUAAAGCAACAUUCAAAAGGUUUUGGAUUCUUUUCUCUUUAAGGUUUCCAAAAUGUGUUCUAUUCUAUAGCUUUUAUUCCGGUAUCGGACUAUGAUAAUUUGUUUUAUUCAAGCAUUCAACAUUAUGACCUAGUGCUCACUGAAAUGGGUGCAAACCAACACCCAGGGCAAAAAAAUUACGUGUCGAUUUCCUCUCAUCUACCUAUAUCUUGGCGAGCAGAGUUAUCCAAUACAUUUGUUGUUGUGAAGUAUUUAUUAAUAUCAUGUAUAGCUAUCCUAUGGUGUUGCUAAAUGGAUAUCCUAUUAACUUUCAUGAAUGAUAAAUUAUAGAUGGAACUACCAAAUCGAGAAAAAAAAAUGAGUGCUA